UGGGCACUGAGGAGCACAGCAAGAAGAAAUGUGCCUAGGGACGACCCCAGCCAUAAGCCCUGAGGCACAGGGGACAUCCAGGCCAAGAGGGGUGUGUGCGAGGGCGCAGUAAAGAAACCUAAAUGGCCGCUCUGUUGGUGGAAAAGGAAAGUUAUUCCCAACUGACAAGGCUCUCUUCCGGAGGAAGCAGAGAGGCGAAAUGGAGAAAAAUCUCGAGGGAGAUGGCCUUUGGACCCUUUGGAAAUAUGUGCAGCAGUGGGAAUCAGGUAGGGAAAAGAAAAAUGACUGCAUUUCUGGUGGUGGCACCUCGGACCUACUUCUCUUUAGAGACCAAAAUUCUCACGACAGAUACACCCAUGGAGGCCAGGGGCCAACUGUGUGCAUUGGUUGUCUUGUGC
rnacentral:lncRNA from 1 species